CAGCCGCCGCGGUAAUACGUAGGGUGCAAGCGUUGUCCGGAAUCAUUGGGCGUAAAGCGCGCGUAGGUGGCCAUUUAAGUCCGCUGUGAAAGUCAAAGGCUCAACCUUUGAAAGCCGGUGGAUACUGGAUGGCUAGAGUACGGAAGAGGCGAGUGGAAUUCCUGGUGUAGCGGUGGAAUGCGCAGAUAUCAGGAGGAACACCAAUAGCGAAGGCAGCUCGCUGGGACGUUACUGACACUGAGGCGCGAAAGCGUGGGGAGCGAACAGGAUUAGAUACCCAGUAGUCCCUGUCUCUUAUACA
rnacentral:rRNA from 1 species